rnacentral:lncRNA from 1 species
CUGAUUCAGAAGGCUAAGCUGACCAAGCAGGCUGAGAGCGCUUCAACAUGGCCACAUUCAGGAAAGCCGUGGCCAAGCAGGGUGUCCAGUUGCCCAAAGAGGAGUACAAUCUGCUCUCAGUGGCCUACAAGACCAUGGUCAGGGGCCACAGGUCUGCCUGGAAGGUCAUCUGAAUGAAGCAUUGAGCAGAAAACCAAUACCUCCAACAGAAAUUUGCAGCUGAUGAAGGACUAUCUCAAGCAGAAAACUGACAACUCUGACAAGAAGUUGCAGCUGAUAAAGGACUAAGCAGAAAGUGAAGUCUGAGCUGAGAUCCAUCUGCACCAGGGUCUUGGAAUUUUUGGAUAAGCAUUUACUAGCCAAUGCAACUAAUCCAAAGAGUAAAGUUUUCUUUCUGAAACUGAAGAGAGACUACUUCUUGUACUUUACUAAAGUUGCAUAUGGCAAUGAUUGGAAACAAAUAAAAGAUAAUUCCCAAGGAGCUUACUAAAAAGCAUUUGAUAGAAGCAAGAAAAAGACGCAACCCACACACCCAAUCUCCCAUGAUCUGGCUCUCAGCUUUUCCAUAUUUUACCAUGAGAUCCUUAAUAAAAAGGCUUUUAAUGAGGCCACUGCAAAACUUGAUAAACUUAAUGAACACUUAUGCAAAGACAGCACCCACCUUAGAAGUUGAUUAGAAACAACCUAACACUAUGGACAUCAGACAAUGCAGGAGAAAAAUGUGACGGAGCAGAA